CCUACGGGUGGCAGCAGUCGAGAAUCAUUCACAAUGGGGGAAACCCUGAUGGUGCGACGCCGCGUGGGGGAAUGAAGUUCUUCGGAUUGUAAACCCCUGUCAUGUGGGAGCAAAUUAAAAAGAUAGUACCACAAGAGGAAGAGACGGCUAACUCUGUGCCAGCAGCCGCGGUAAUACAGAGGUCGCAAGCGUUGUUCGGAAUCACUGGGCGUAAAGCGUGCGGAGGCUGUUUCGUAAGUCGUGUGUGAAAGGCGCGGGCUCAACCCGCGGACGGCACAUGAUACUGCGAGACUAGAGUAAGGGAGGGGGAACCGGAAUUCUCGGUGUAGCAGUGAAAUGCGUAGAUAUCGAGAGGAACACUCGUGGUGAAGGCGGGUUCCUGGACAUUAACUGACGCUGAGGCACGAAGGCCAGGGGAGCGAAAGGGAUUAGAUACCCGGGUAGUC
rnacentral:rRNA from 1 species